CUUGGUCAUUUAGAGGAAGUAAAAGUCGUAACAAGGUUUCCGUAGGUGAACCUGCGGAAGGAUCAUUAGUGAAUUGAAUAUGUUAGCGGACCUCUUCGGAGUCCCUAGCAUCAAAUCAUAUCCAUAACACCUGUGAACUGUACGGCUGUCUUGAAAACGAAAGUGAUUAGAGCGCCUGCCCAUUUUAUACAAACAUUAAAGUAACAAACGUAGUCUUAUUAUAAUCUAAUAAAACUUUCAACAACGGAUCUCUUGCUCUCGCAUCGAUGAAGAACGCAGCGAAAUGCGAUAAGUAAUGUGAAUUGCAGAAUUCAGUGAAUCAUCGAAUCUUUGAACGCACCUUGCGCUCUUUGGUAUUCCGAAGAGCAUGCCUGUUUGAGUGUCAUGAAAAUAUCAACCUUGACUUGGGUUUAGUGCUCUUGUCUUGGCUUGGAUUUGGCUGUUUGCCGCUCGAAAGAGUCGGCUCAGCUUAAAAGUAUUAGCUGGAUCUGUCUUUGAGACUUGGUUUGACUUGGCGUAAUAAGUUAUUUCGCUGAGGACAAUCUUCGGAUUGGCCGAGUUUCUGGGACGUUUGUCCGCUUUCUAAUACAAGUUCUAGCUUGCUAGACAUGACUUUUUUAUUAUCUGGCCUCAAAUCAGGUAGGACUACCCGCUGAACUUAAGCAUAUCAAUAAGCGGAGGA
rnacentral:rRNA from 1 species